rnacentral:rRNA from 1 species
GAUGAACGCUAGCGGCAGGCUUAACACAUGCAAGUCGAGGGGUAGGUUAUUUCGGUAAUUGAGACCGGCGCACGGGUGCGUAACGCGUAUACAAUCUACCUUUUACAGAGGGAUAGCCCAGAGAAAUUUUGGAUUAAUACCUCAUAGUAUUUUUGAAUCGCAUGAUUUGAUUAUUAAAGUUCCAACGGUAAAAGAUGAGUAUGCGUCCCAUUAGCUAGAUGGUAAGGUAACGGCUUACCAUGGCUACGAUGGGUAGGGUCCUGAGAGGGAGAUCCCCCCACACUGGUACUGAGACACGGACCAGACUCCUACGGGAGGCAGCAGUGAGGAAUAUUGGACAAUGGGCGCAAGCCUGAUCCAGCCAUGCCCGCGUGCAGGAAGAAGGUCCAUGGAUUGUAAACUGCUUUUAUACAAGAAGAAACACUCCCUACGUGAGGGAACUUGACGGUACUGUAU